UACCUAUUAAAAUAUAAUGAUAGGUUUUUUCAAGUUUUGUAAUUACAAGUUUUGUAAAACUUGUGUGAAUAAUACAUGAUAUUUAUUUGUUUAAAAUAUAAUGAUGUAGGAAUCAAUUUUUUAUAUGUGAUUUUCUUUCUUGGUAAUCAAAAAGUUAACUUGCAUGUUUGAUUGUUUUAGAGAUUUUUUGUCUUAAUGAGUGAUUCACCUUUGUUUAGAACCCUCCCAAGCUGGCUACUCCUCUAUUUGAUACUAAAAUGGCAGAGGACCCUAAGAUGACAUACAUAGACCUAGAUAAUCUUCAAAUUGUGUUUUGAACGAAGAGUGUUUGGUCUUGCAUUGUGAUGGCGUCUGAGUGUUGGCUUGGUCUCUGUUGGCUUGCUACAUAUCUAGAAAGCUCCAUGAUUUGUGCUAAGCUGAAGCGUAUCCAAUUUGGAUUUUCCAGCUCAAAAUAUCAGUAGAUUUGUUGUGGUAGUGCCUUAACAGGAUUUGAGACUUCUCCAUUCAGGAAAAGACAAGUCCAGUAGAUACAAAAAUUACAAGAUUGCAAGUUUGGAUUGAAGGUCACAAGAAAAAAAAUGGGGAGCCUAGUACUCAAGCUGUUGGAGAGACAAUAGUGGACCUAAUUCGACCAAAUGAUGAAAUGCAGUUUCUCGAUGAUGCAAUAGGAAGCACGGUCGCAUGGUUAUCUAAAUUUAUAGUAUUGUGUGAUUAAUACAUAUUAUACUAAUUUGUUUGGAUUGUAAGUUGAAUUGUUGUUAUGUAAUUGCUAGUUUGUUAGAGAUUUCAUAUAUUGUUUUA